CGGGUGAGUAACGCGUGGAUAACCUGCCUCAUACAGGGGGAUAACAGUUAGAAAUGACUGCUAAUACCGCAUAAGCGCACAGGACCGCAUGGUCUGGUGUAGAAAACUCCGGUGGUAUGGGAUGGAUCCGCGUCUGAUUAGCUGGUUGGUGAGGUAACGGCCCACCAAGGCGACGAUCAGUAGCCGACCUGAGAGGGUGGCCGGCCACAUUGGGACUGAGACACGGCCCAAACUCCUACGGAAGGCAGCAG
rnacentral:rRNA from 1 species